AACGCAUAUUGCACUCUCUGGUAUUCCGGAGAGUAUGCCUGUUUGAGGGUCAGUUAAAAAAAAAUCAAACGUUGUGAUGACGUUUGGAAUUGAGUCGUCUUAGCCUUUUAUGGUCAAGUGACUUAAAAUUUUAAUGUGAUUUUCGGAACGUAUUUAACAUUUACGUACGUUUACGAUAUCAAUCUAUUAGAUGUGAUCAUUUUUCAUGAUUCGCGUCCAUAGUUUUUCAUUAAAUGACCUCAAAUCAGGUAAGAGUACCCGCUGAACUUAA
rnacentral:misc_RNA from 1 species